rnacentral:rRNA from 1 species
AUUGAACGCUGGCGGCAGGCUUAACACAUGCACGUCGAGCGAGCGGCGGACGGGUGAGUAAUGUCUGGGAAACUGCCUGAUGGAGGGGGAUAACUACUGGAAACGGUAGCUAAUACCGCAUACCAUCAGAUGUGCCCAGAUGGGAUUAGCUAGUAGGUGGGGUAAGGGCUCACCUAGGCGACGAUCCCUAGCUGGACUGAAAGGAUACCCAGCCAAACUGGAACUGAGACACGGUCCAGAAUCCUACGGGGGGCAGCAGUGGGUAAUAUUGAACAAUGGGCGAAAGACUUAUGCAGCAAUGACGCGUGUGUGAAUAAGGCCUUCAGGUUGUAAAGCACUUUCAGCGAGGAGGCGUUACUCGCAGAAGAAGCACCGGCUAACUCCGUGCCAGCAGCCGCGGUAAUUC